UUCUGCAGAGGAACAGGAUGUGUCAGAAAAGCGGGCUGAGCAGGCAGCUCUGCACAGCUAACUGGAAGUGCUGUGUGCCGCAUGAAAAGCUCAGGAGGAAACUGACAAUAUGUUCUACCUUCAAGAGAACAAAGGAGUGUUUUGGAGGAGCGGAGAACGGCUGCGUCACAAAGGCUCCAAAGUCUUGUUGCUCAAAUCCAGGAGGCCAAGGAGCUGAAGUCUGGUGAGGGUGGAGCACAACCUUCAAAGCGUGCCCCUAAAAGAAGACCAAG